rnacentral:snRNA from 1 species
AUCGCUUCUCGGCCUUUUGGCUAAGAUCAGGUGUAGUAUCUGUUCUUAUCAGUUUACUAUCUGAUACGUCCUCUAUCCAAGGACAAUAUAUUAAAAUAGUUGAGCAACAAAA